rfam:Otolemur garnettii contig102240, whole genome shotgun sequence.
UGGUGAGAUGAUGGCAAUGAUCUUUUAGGACUGACCUGAAAUGAAGAGAAAACUAAAACAGCUUAAGAAAAGCAAAUAUAUAUAUAUUUUUCUUUU